GGGGCCAUAGCUCAGUUGGCUAGAGCGCUUGACUGGCAGUCAAGAGGUCAGGGGUUCGACUCCCCUUGGCUCCA
rnacentral:tRNA from 2 species